rnacentral:rRNA from 1 species
GGAGUUAGCCGGUGCUUCUUCUGUGAGUGAUGUCCUUCCUGCCGGUUAUUGACCCGCAGGCCUUCUUCCUCACUGAAAGUGCUUUACAACCCGAAGGCCUUCUUCACACACGCGGCAUGGCUGGAUCAGGGUUACCCCCAUUGUCCAAUAUUCCCCACUGCUGCCUCCCGUAGGAGUCUGGGCCGUGUCUCAGUCCCAGUGUGGCUGAUCAUCCUCUCAGACCAGCUACGGAUCGUCGCCUUGGUGAGCCGUUACCUCACCAACCAGCUAAUCCGACAUAGGCUCAUCCGAUAGCGCGAGGCCCGAAGGUCCCCCGCUUUCCCCCGUAGGGCGUAUGCGGUAUUAGCCUGGGUUUCCCCAGGUUAUCCCCCACUACCGGGCAGAUUCCUAUGCAUUACUCACCCGUCCGCCGCUCGCCACCAGGGAGCAAGCUCCCCGUGCUGCCGCUCGACUUGCAUGUGUUAGGCCUGCCGCCAGCGUUCAAUCUGAGCCAGAAUCAAACUCUGA